rnacentral:rRNA from 1 species
GACGAACGCUGGCGGCGUGCUUAACACAUGCAAGUCGAACGGAAAGGCCCUGCUUUUGUGGGGUGCUCGAGUGGCGAACGGGUGAGUAACACGUGAGUAACCUGCCCUUGACUUUGGGAUAACUUCAGGAAACUGGGGCUAAUACCGGAUAGGAGCUCCUGCUGCAUGGUGGGGGUUGGAAAGUUUCGGCGGUUGGGGAUGGACUCGCGGCUUAUCAGCUUGUUGGUGGGGUAGUGGCUUACCAAGGCUUUGACGGGUAGCCGGCCUGAGAGGGUGACCGGCCACAUUGGGACUGAGAGACGGACCAGACUCCUACGGGAGGCAGCAGUGGGGAAUAUUGCACAAUGGGCGGGAGCCUGAUGCAGCAACGCCGCGUGCGGGAUGACGGCCUUCGGGUUGUAAACCGCUUUCGCCUGUGACGAAGCGUGAGUGACGGUAAUGGGUAAAGAAGCACCGGCUAACUACGUG